AACAAGACUGACAACAGGAAGCAGCGCGCGCAGUAUACAUCACGACUUUGUGUCCACAGAUGAGUCAAACUGGUCAUUCUCACAUUUCUUUCCUCUACAGUCCACAGGGAGGAAACCGACUCACAGACUUUGACGGUUCCUCCCUGUUCUUACGUACCUGGUCAGUGUUGCUCCGCCCCUCUCCUUUUAGAGGAAAUCAGACUUAUAGGGAACACAAACACAGCUGAGCACCAGCUCCUUCAUGCUCCACUGGAUCUGGAGACAGUGCGUUAAGGUGAACGACCUUUCAUCUCAGCACAGGAGCCCCCCAGGGCUGUGUCCUG